rnacentral:rRNA from 1 species
CGGGCGUGCCUAAUACAUGCAAGUCGAACGCACUCUCGUUUAGAUUGAAGGAGCUUGCUCCUGAUUGAUAAACAUUUGAGUGAGUGGCGGACGGGUGAGUAACACGUGGGUAACCUGCCCUAAAGUGGGGGAUAACAUUUGGAAACAGAUGCUAAUACCGCAUAAAACCUAACACCGCAUGGUGUAGGGUUGAAAGAUGGUUUCGGCUAUCACUUUAGGAUGGACCCGCGGUGCAUUAGUUAGUUGGUGAGGUAAAGGCUCACCAAGACCGUGAUGCAUAGCCGACCUGAGAGGGUAAUCGGCCACACUGGGACUGAGACACGGCCCAGACUCCUACGGGAGGCAGCAGUAGGGAAUCUUCCACAAUGGACGAAAGUCUGAUGGAGCAACGCCGCGUGAGUGAAGAAGGUUUUCGGAUCGUAAAACUCUGUUGUUGGAGAAGAAUGUAUCUGAUAGUAACUGAUCAGGUAGUGACGGUAUCCAACCAGAAAGCCACGGCUAACUACGUG